rnacentral:rRNA from 1 species
AGCAGCCGCGGUAAUUCCAGCUCCAAUAGCGUAUAUUAAAGUUGUUGCAGUUAAAAAGCUCGUAGUUGAAUUUCGGGAUUGACACAUCGGUCGUGCCUUAAGGGGUAUGAACUGGUGUAGUCAAUUUCUCACCUUCUGGAGAACCGCGAUGCCCUUAAUUGGGUGCCGCGGGGAACCAGGACCUUUACUUUGAAAAAUUAGAGUGUUUAAAGCAGGCAUUUUGCUUGAAUACAUUAGCAUGGAAUAAUAAAAUAGGACGGCAUGAUUCUAUUUUGUUGGUUUCUAGGAUCACCGUAAUGAUUAAUAGGGAUAGUUGGGGGCAUUAGUAUUCAAUUGUCAGAGGUGAAAUUCUUGGAUUUAUUGAAGACUAACUACUGCGAAAGCAUUUGCCAAGGAUGUUUUCAUUAAUACAAGAACGAAAGUUAGGGGAUCGAAGACGAUCAGAUACCGUCGUAGUCUUAACCAUAAACUAUAGCCGACUAGGAAUCAGACGAUGUUAAUUUUAAU